rnacentral:SRP_RNA from 14 species
CGCGGAGUGCAGGCGCAGGCGCAGAGCGUUAGCAGAGGUGAACAGGGAGGAGAGAGAGGCAGCAGCCUCAACCCUCCGCUGACUUCAGACGAGCAGACGCCCGC